rnacentral:tRNA from 1 species
GCGCCCGUGGCGGAAUGGCAGACGCGCCGAUCUGAGGGGUCGGUGUCUCCGGACGUGCAGGUUCAACUCCUGUCGGGCGCACCA